GGAAAACUUAUUCAUUCCAUAUGCAUGUAUAAUACUAGCGAUCAAAACAAAACUACUAACUGGUUACCAUUACAAGAAAAAAAGUAAAACUUUCGACUGUCUAACAUUGCAUUAACCUUGUAGGGUAUAGCGGAGUUCACUGUUAUUGUGUACUAUAAAUUAAGCAAUCAUAUUUUCAAAGGAAGAAAAAAAUAAGUUGUGUUAUUUCUUACUCUUUAUGGCUAUAGC
rnacentral:lncRNA from 1 species